UGGGGAAUAUUGCACAAUGGAGGGAACUCUGAUGCAGCGACGCCGCGUGAACGAAGAAGGCUUUCGAGUCGUAAAGUUCUUUUAUAUGGGAAGAUAAUGACGGUACCAUAAGAAAAAGCCCCGGCUAACUACGUGCCAGCAGCCGCGGUAAUACGUAGGGGGCUAGCGUUGUCCGGAAUCACUGGGCGUAAAGGGUUCGCAGGCGGAAAUGCAAGUCAGGUGUAAAAGGCAGUAGCUUAACUACUGUAAGCAUUUGAAACUGCAUAUCUUGAGAGGAGUAGAGGUAAGUGGAAUUGUUAGUGUAGCGGAGAAAUGCGUAGAUAUUAAAAAGAAUACCGGUGGCGAAGGCGACUUACUGGGCUCAUUCUGACGCUGAGGAACGAAAGCGUGGGUAGCAAACAGG
rnacentral:rRNA from 1 species